CCCCUACUUCGCAGUUGCAAAGGGACUCGCGUUUUCCCCAAGGGGCAGGCAGUGCAUUCAGGGCCCUGGGAGGCCUGGCCCACUGCGGAGGGGAACUCGCUCGCGCGCACGCGGCCCGACGUCCCUAGGAGAUCUCCGUGUGAUCACCGUGCGUGGCAGCUCCUGGGCGGAAACACCUCCCACCUCCACGUGAAAGUGGGCUCACCCGCAGGCGGAAAGCGACAAGGCUGGGGGACUACUCGUGCUGUAGCAGAGGCUGGGGGAACAUUCUUAGCAGGAAGAGAGCUCACUUCACUGUCUUCUUGGAGAGACAACAAAUACAUCCAUGUAACAGUGAUGUCUUCAGUUGCCAAAGGGAGCAUUUCAAUUGACCAGCAGCUAAUACCUGAUGAUGUCCCGUGGCCAACCAACAGAAGGUGGGCUCAUGAUCCCUCUGGUCUCCAUGCCUUUGUGAGAUGCACCCCACUUGGGUGUGGGUGGGACCUGUGACUUGCUUCUAACUAAUAGAAUAUGGCAAAGGUGACAGGCUGGAUAUGACUGUGUGUGUGUAUGUUAUAUGAAAUUGUAAUGACAGUUCUUCUAGGAUACAUCUUUCCUUGUUGGCUUACGAGCAAGAAACUGAUGCCCUCAGCCCAACAACCUUCUCGGAGCUGAAUUCUGCCAAUGAGUACAUGAGCUUGGAAGAAGAUCCCUCCCCAGUGAAGCCACCACAGGUGAGACUCCAGCCCUGGCCUAUACCUUGAUCACAGACUUGGAGAGGACCCACUUGAGCCAUACUCAGACUCCCGUAAGAAAAUGGUAAGAUAAUCUACAACCAUACCACCCUGAACGUGCCUGAUCUUGUCUGAAAAUUGCAAGAUAGGCUGGGUGUGGUGGCUCAUGCCUGUAAUCCCAGCACUUUGGGAGGCUGAGGUGGGCGGAUCACCUGAGGUCAGGAGUUCAAGACCAGCCUGGCCAACAUGAUGAAACCUUGGUUUCUACAAAAAUUAGCUGAGUGUGGCCAGGCACGGUGGCUCACGCCCAUAAUCCCGGCACUUUGGGAGGCCAAGGUGGGUGGAUCACGAGGUCAAGAGAUCGAGACCAUCCUGGUCAGCAAGGUGAAACCCCGUCUCUACUAAAAAAACAAAAAUUAGCUGGGCAUGGUGGCGUGCCCCUGUAGUCCCAGCUACUCGGGAGGCAGGAGAAUUGCUUGAACCCAGGAGGCAGAGGUUGCUGCGAGCCAAGAUUGUGCCAUUGCACUCCAGCCUGGGUAACGAGCGAAACUCCGUCUCAAAAAAAAAAAAAAAUUAGCUGGGCGUGAUGGCAGGUGCCUAUAAUCCCAGCUACUUGGGAGCCUGAGGUGGGAGAACUACUUGAACCCAGGAAGCAGAGGUUGCAGUGAACCAAGAUGGCACCAUUGCAUUCCAGCCUGGGUGACAGACAGACUCCAUCUCAAAAAAAAAAAAAAAAAAAGGAAAAGGAAAAAAAAGAAAAUUGUGAGAUAAUAAAUAUAUGUUUUUGUUUGUUUCAUUUUUGUAGAGACGGGGUCUUGCUAUGUUGCCCAGUCUGGCUUUGAAUUCCUGAGCUCAAGGGUUCCUCCUGCUUCAGCCUCCUAAGUCUCUGAGACUACAGGCCUGUGCCACACUGCACCAAGCUAAAUGUGUAAUUUAACCCUCUACGUUUGUGGUGACAUUCUUAUGCAGCAACAAAGAACCAAUAUAGAACCUAUUAGGUACAAAGUCCUCUGUAGGGCUGUUAGGGAAUACCAAAAAGUGUAAGGAACCCAGAACUUCAGGAGCUUCCCAGCAGUCAAGGUGAAAAAGGAACGACAGUGUAGUUAAACUAUUUGAAAAAAGAAAAUUAAUGUUUCCAAAGAUUGAACCCAGCCAGGCACAGUGGCUCAUGCCUGUAAUCCCAACACCUUGGGAGGCCCAUGUAGGAAGACUGCUUGAGGCCAGGAGUUUGACACCAGCUUGGGCAACAUAGUGAGACCCCUAUCUCUACAAAAAUAAAAAAUAAAGAGGGAAACCGGCUCCUGAUUCUAAGAGGAAUUUAUCGUGUGGUCAAUAUCUAUGUACAAUCUGUGAACAGAGAGCACUGACUCUGUACGGGAUGGACCGCCUGCAAUUCCAGUCCUCCUCAUCCUGCCUCCUUUGGGUCUGACCUCCUACCACCUCACACCCUUCUGCUCGACGCCCUCCUCCUGGACUGCUCAUCUUCGUUCUUGGCCCAUCACCU
ensembl:lincRNA